rnacentral:lncRNA from 1 species
UUACCAUGAACAUUUUCAUUGCCGUUUUUAAGUCAACUUACCAAGUCAUGCGGGUAUUAAAGGACUUGUUUGAUAAACAAAAAAUGUUAUAAGAAUGAGCUAUGUUUCAUAUGACUAUUAUUUUACUUGGAAUAGUGUAAGAUAACUUAUCAUAAUUUGCAUAAAAUUUAUGCUAUUUAAAUGACAAUCAGUUUUAGCUGCUGAAGAGUACCAAAUGAUUUUUUAGUUAUAUUAUAUAUUUGAUAUUUUCUACUUGAAAAUUACUCGAUGAUUUUUUUUUUAAAAUAGGAAAAUAUUGAUUGAUUUUUUUUUUAAGGAAAAGGAUGAGAGGAGUGAUCUUAAAAAGUGGUUAGACAACUAUCGCCAUAAAAAGAAAUUCAAUUUGCCAAAAAAAUGCAAAACGUGUUUCUGUGGGUAAGUAACACUUAUGUAUUUGUUUGUAUUGGUCAGUUACGCCGAAAUGUAUGCCUUAAAUCUGUUCGGUAGAUAAAAAAUGAAAAAGAACAUUUAGACAAAAUAACAAUGGCUAUGUACGUGAAAAAAGAUCCCCAUUAUAAAAAAUACAUAUAUUUGUAUGUUAAAUAAAAUUAAGAAUGGAAAAUGGGGAAUACGUCAGAGAGACAACAAUCCCAAGAGCAGAAAGCAGCCUCUAUAAAUGGAUCUUCACAUGAAGGUGGGGAUUCAACUGGCCCCUUAAUGAUCAUUUGUCUAGAUCAAAAAUAAAUGAACAAAAAUUUUAAAAAUAACAUACAAGUUUGACAAAGCCAGAGGUUGGUGAAAAUUAAUAACUAAAUGGUAAUGCUGGAUUUUGCAAUGUUUAGAUAUUGAUAUAAAAGAACGUUAAUCAUUUUGUAUGGCUGUUUUACGUUUUACAGUUGUAUGUUAUAACAAGAACCUUUCGGAGCACAGUCGGGAAUUCCUUGAAUAUAGAUAUGUAUGAAAUGUGUUUAGCAUGUGACUGUGUGUUUUAUGUUUGCUUGUAAUGUUCAUGAAUCAUUUUAAAUUUCAUAAACUUUAUUUUUUAAGUCAUUCUACAGGCAGUGGAAAUUCUUUUCCUUUUCAUUUUUCCGUUGCGAUGUACUUCGAAUCUGUUUUGGUUGCAUUGUUUACUAUCAUACCUCAUUGUACAAGAACCACGUGUUUAAGAUUAAAUGCAAAUUAGAAACUGUAGGAAUUCUGUCACAAUUCAUAAUUUAACUACACUCCUAAAAUGUAUUGUAGUUUUGGGAGUUCAAUUAGUAAAGAUGCUACUAGUAAAUGGAAAACCCAUUUGGAAAAUAUCAUAAAAAAAUGUAUCUAAACAUUUGAAUGUUCUUAGAAAAUUAAAGUACAGGAUAAGUAGGAGUAACUUAGAAAUUUGAAAUCGAACUAAAAAAUCUUAAAUUGAAUUCAAAAGCCCAUGUACUAAAAAAUUAUGACUUUGGAAAUCGCUAACUCAACAUUAGUUUGACACAACUUAGAUACUCAGCCUCUUUUUUGAAUUAUGAUCUUAAAAGAGUCAACAUUAUUUCAGAAUACGUCUUGCAGAACUUUGUGGUGCUAAGUGCGAAGAUUCACGUCACUUCUUUUUUUAUUGUCCUAAUUAUGUGAAUAUAAGAAUCAAAUUAUUUAAUAAUCUAUAUUGGUUGCCAGAGAACUCUCCACUAAAUCAUCUUAACCUCAGGUGAUACGUCUUUAACUAAUGUUGAAAAUGAAAGAAUUGUAAAGAAUGUAUAUAAAUUUAUUCAAAAGUCUAAGAGGUUUCUAAUUGUGUAAUAUCGGACAUUAUAAAGUGCAAAUGCAUGCAUAUUGUGUAUAACCAUUCACAUCAUCACAAACCAUUUUUUCACAGUUCCAAUAUUUUAUACAUAGAGAAUAAUACAUGGCAAAAUACGUAUCAUAUGCCCGUUAAUCCCGAGAUACCAAUAUCAACCAGAGUGCCUUUAGACCCGAGGGAUGAUAUUGGUUGAGGGAGAUACGGCAUGUGAUACGGAUUUUGCCAUGUUUUAUACGCUUUAUCAUAUAUCUCAACAGGAGAGUAGCACCUGUGUUACCUCCAGUUCUACUUUUGUCUUGUUUUAAAAGCUUUAAAAGAACUGCUCAAUUACUCAUCGGAAGCACCUGGGUUACCUUAUAAUUUGCGUGCUGGUUGUUUUAAAAAAUGUUUUGUUAAUUGGUUUUUUUUUAUGUGUGUGUGUUUUGAAUGGUAUUUAAUUGAGUUCUUUUUAUAGUUUCAUUUCGUGUGCCAGAAAUUAUGAAAAUUCUACGUUUAUCACGUCACAUUUCUAACAAUGAGGUAAUUCAAAAAAUUGCGUCACGCCCGAAUGACCGUUCAUUUGGGACCCAUUUUGCGGAAAAUAUUUCUUGAGACGGACUUUAUUUAAAAAUGAAAAAAAAGGAGUAGGGGUGUGGUAAAGGGUAUGAUAAAAGGUGCGCAUUAAAGUUGCGCGAAAUGGAUUAAACAGCAAGCUAUUUAUCAAAUAUUCAAAACUACUCUAUUUACUACUAAAUAUAUGAUAAAUAUAUAUAAUAAAAAGUAGAACAUGCAAUGAAAAUAAACAAUACAGAAACUUUCUACGAUAAUCCUUUCUGUAAUAAAACUAUUUACAAAACCUAAGUCGUACCCCCACUAGAACAUGUAACGUGUACAUUACUUAUAAAUGCUUAUAUAAAAAUUUGAAGAUGUGGUAAGAUUGCAAGGGAGACAACUCUCCAACAGAGACCAAAUCACAUAUAAGUUUUCAACUCUAGGUAACACUACGGCAAUAGCAAAACACAUAUACCGCAUAGUCAAAUAUUAAAGGCCCCAAGUGACAGACUAAGAAACUUCUACAGUGCGAGCUAUUAUUCCUGUUUCGAGCCGAGUACAAAUACAUAUGGUAUUUAAAAACACUAAACAGUAUAUUUUUAAAAAAUGUAACUGACUAAUUCUGAGUUUUUCUUAUGUUUGUCAGUCUGUUUCUGUAUAGCUAUGACCAAAAUUGUUGUUUUGUUUGUUUUACUUAAAGAAUAAGGGUUUUUGUAUAAGAUUUAAGGACGCCUCAUGAUUUAUGAUUUUUUGCAGGUGUAUCGAGAUAGUUGAUGGUUGAUGGUUACAUACUUUAAAAGAAAAGAAGAUAUUAGUGUACAAACGCCAUCGUGUUAUAGGAUGCACAGUAACCAUAGCAUUUCCAAUGACAUUAUUGGUUUUAUGCUCAAUACUGCACCGCCUUCGAGAAUAUCUGAUAUUUUACUUAACUUGCUCAAAAGUUUUGUUUAUGUUUGUUGUUUUGUCUGUGCUCUUUCAUUUAAAUCCCAGCUAGGUUGUAUAAAUCGACAGAGG